rnacentral:rRNA from 1 species
UACGGAGGGUGCAAGCGUUAUCCGGAUUCACUGGGGUUAAAGGGUGCGUAGGAGGGCAGGUAAGUCAGUGGUGAAAUCUCCGAGCUUAACUUGGAAACUGCCGUUGAUACUAUCUGUCUUGAAUAUUGUGGAGGUGAGCGGAAUAUGUCAUGUAGCGGUGAAAUGCUUAGAUAUGACAUAGAACACCAAUUGCGAAGGCAGCUCGCUACGCAUAUAUUGACUCUGAGGCACGAAAGCGUGGGGAUCAAACAGG